rnacentral:rRNA from 1 species
UUAAAUGGCUGCAGUAAUUUGACUGUACAAAGGUAGCAUAAUCAUUAGUUUUUUAAUUAAAAGCUUGUAUGAAGGGUUGGAUGAAGUAAAAUCUGUCUCUAUUUAAUUAUUUUAGAAUUUAAUUUUUAAGUUAAAAAGCUUAAAUUUUUUUAAAAGACGAGAAGACCCUAUAGAGUUUUAUAAUUUUAAUUUAAUAAUUAAUUUAGAUUUAUUAAUUUUAUUUUAUUAAAAUUAUUUUAUUGGGGUAAUAGAAAGAUUUAAAUAAUUCUUUUUUUUAAAAAACAUUAAUUUAUGAAAUUUUGUGAUCCAUUUUUAUUUUGAUUAUAAG